rnacentral:lncRNA from 1 species
UUUGGUGAAUUAUAAUUUGAUUUUUCUAUUUGUAUACAUUUAUAGACUUUUAUAAUCCUAUAAUCCUUUUUGUGUUUGCUACCAAAUUAAGUUAUGGUAUUCGUUGACUAAAAAUGAAGUAUUUAAUAUUUAAAAAAAAGUUGUUGUUGUUAGUCUGUGCACUUACGAUUACUAGAAUUAGAUCUUUAUAACUGGUUGGUGUCUCAUGCAUUGUUGCUGGAGAUCAUGUC